rnacentral:rRNA from 1 species
GAUGAACGCUGGCGGCGUGCCUAAUACAUGCAAGUCGAGCGAACAGAUAAGGAGCUUGCUCCUUUGACGUUAGCGGCGGACGGGUGAGUAACACGUGGGUAACCUACCUAUAAGACUGGAAUAACUCCGGGAAACCGGGGCUAAUGCCGGAUAACAUUUAGAACCGCAUGGUUCUAAAGUGAAAGAUGGUUUUGCUAUCACUUAUAGAUGGACCCGCGCCGUAUUAGCUAGUUGGUAAGGUAACGGCUUACCAAGGCAACGAUACGUAGCCGACCUGAGAGGGUGAUCGGCCACACUGGAACUGAGACACGGUCCAGACUCCUACGGGAGGCAGCAGUAGGGAAUCUUCCGCAAUGGGCGAAAGCCUGACGGAGCAACGCCGCGUGAGUGAUGAAGGUCUUCGGAUCGUAAAACUCUGUUAUUAGGGAAGAACAAAUGUGUAAGUAACUGUGCACGUCUUGACGGUACCUAAUCAGAAAGCCACGGCUAACUACAUG